rnacentral:tRNA from 1 species
GGCCGCGUGGCCCAAUGGCAAGGCGUCUGACUACGACCUCGCUUCUUCUUCCGAAAUUCGGAGAGAGCGCGCGUAUAAAUCAGGAGAUCGUGGGUUCGAGCCCCAUCGUGGUCA